rnacentral:tRNA from 1 species
AUUUCUAAUAUGGCAGAUUAGUGCAAUGGAUUUAAGCUCCAUAUAUAAAGUAUUUUACUUUUAUUAGAAUAA